UUCUUCUACUAACUUUGUCACUUUCACAAAUCUGCGUGCCAUGCGUCAUUCAGCCCAUGCACUUCGCCAAAGCAAGCCCUUCGCAUGCAAAAAAAAUGCUUCAGAAUUCCUAUAUAUCGAUGUUUACACAGAGUUUCACACUCAGAAGAUAUGGACAAGGGUAGGGAGGCUUUGGUGGUUUGCAGUGAUAAGAGCAUGGGAAUUGGCAUAACGAUAUGGGAUAUGGCGACGGGGGAUCAUCUCCUACACAUACCCACCAGUGCUUCCCCUGCUCACGGGUUUCUGUGCUUGAGAAAGCAGUUCCUUGUAGCCUCUCAGAUUCACAGAAAUGGAUCUAUUGGUGGUGGAGCCAUCUUUAUCUGGGCAUUGAAUAAGCCUCAACCACCCCUUCGGAGUUACCCUGUGGAGGCCAUUGGGCCACUUUCUUGCACAAAUGAUGGCAUAUAUCUAGCGGGUGGGGCACUUUCUGGAAAUGCUCAUCUUUGGGAGCGUGUCAACUUGGUUGGGGGAUGACAGUUUUACAUUCUGGUGUGCUUGAGAAAAACCACAGAUUGCUAGUGGAAGAUUGCUCAAGACUUGGCAUGCUCAUCACAAAUCUGUGAAUUGCUUGCUAUUUUCCAAUGAUGAUUCUCUUCUUAUUUCUGGGUCAGAGGAUGGUAUGAUCUGUGUUUGGUCAGUAAUUAGGUAAACGCCAAUUCUUUUUCUAUUGGUACUUAAUUUCUGGAAGACAAAACAUAAGAGAUUUAAAGCCUUUCUAAUGAUGCAUUGUUCCAAUUAAAUUGAUGGAAGUUUGAUAGACAUGGAAGAUUCCAGAAACUUGCCUCCUUUGUUACAUUAUUCAUCAGAGCAUCUAUCCUCUAUCACCAGUCUGCUGACAGCAUCAGGCAGCUCAAGUUCACUUUUAGUAUCAAGCUCCCUUGAUGGUACAUGCAAGGUUUGGGACUUUGUCACCGGAAGGCUUAUUCAAACUCAAGUUUAUCCUCUAGGAGUAACUGCAAGUGUGCUUCACUCAGAAGAGGAGAUUUUGUUCUGUGGGUGUGUAGACGGAAGAAUUUUUGUCAACAAGCUUGAUAUUGGACUAUUGGAGGACUCUUUCUUUGUUGCAGAAGACCAAGCAGUUGUGUUAAAAGGACACAAGUAAUGUAUGGUGCUUGAGUUUCCAGUUACUCAUUGGAGACCUGAAUCUCCUGUCACAGGAAUAAACUGUUGAAAGACCUAGCUAGUGACUUUGAAUCUCAUUUUUAUGAGUUAAUUUGAUUCCCAAUAGUCUUAUAUGGGGACUGAAUCAUGAUAAACUAGCUCCUCUUAUCUUUAAUAGGUUCUUUGGCUUUGAAACCCAUUUGGAAACUUCACUGAAAGUGCAGAUUGUAAACAAACAUGCCCACUCGCUCGCGCACAGAUGUAGAGAUGCAAGCAAUGAACAUUGAGCAUUAAAUUUUCAUCCUUUGUCAGUUUGGUUAAUUAUUUGGAUAGAUUUUGAUCACAUGUUCAUGUAAUAAAAUCAGUUUUUCCUACCAUCCAUGCAGUGGAGCCAUAACUGCAUUGACCAUCAGUGGAUUGGGUCUGAUAUCCGCAUCUGCAGACUGCACCAUCUGCAUAUGGGAUGUAGUCAACCGGAUGAUCAUCCGGAGAUUCAACCAUCAAAAAGGGGCAGUAACUAAUAUGGUGGUGAUUCCGCAAUCCUCACUGCUUUCUGCAUCAAACCAUUUGGGAGUUUUGAACCAGUUUCAUGUUUCUUUGCUUGACAAGUAUCCUCAGCCAGCCAACUCAUCCAAGGGAACAGCCACUCUCCUUUCCCUGCCUCGUUCCUUUAAGGGAACGCAAACUUCCUUCGAUUCGCGAAGCACUCAUUCAUCAAACCAGCAUAUGUCAGACUUGGAGGUCUCUUCCUCUCUCAUGAACAGCGUGCGAUUGUUGACACAUGCACAGACCAUUAACAUAACAUAUAGAUCCGAUUUACCAUUGAAUCACCAAAUAACACAAAGUUUAUACCCGAAGAAGACUAAUGAGUCACAUUUUGUAAUAAUAUGAUGUCCCAUGACUUCUUGCUGUAGGAAAAGUGGGAAGAAUAGGAAAUAUUUUAUAGCAAA